ACACUACAUGACUUGAUAGAAGACAUGGGUAAAGAAAUUGUACGACCAGAAUCAACGAAAGAGCCUGGAAAGCAUAGUAGGUUGUGGUUCUACUGAAGCAGGAACUACAUGAGUAUGGAGGUGCUGAGUUUAUUUUUACAAGAAGUACAAGGUUUCCGGAGUGGUUUGAGCACCAAAAUAGGGGGCCAUCGAUAUCCUUUUGGUUUCGUAGCAAGCUCCCCACCAUAACACUCUUCGUCGUUUGUAAAUUGAUGUGGGGUAAAUAUGACUCAGACUCAACACAUAACGAAGGCCACAAUAACGAACUCAUUCCAUUGAAUGUACAACUGUUCAUCAAUGGCUAUGAAUACGGAUUUUGCAAUCUCGAGGUAAAGCAGUACCAUAGGCAUGUGUUUGAUUUGCAACUG